GCAGUAACAACGCUGGAUCCUUGACCUGCUGGGCCACCAGGGAACUCAUGGAUUUUCUUGAUAUAGUGCCAUCAGCUGCAGAGACAAAGUGUGCCUGAAAGCAACUAUGUAGCAGGAAACUAGUUCAUGCCAGGCAUUCAGUAAACAAGAUUUCAAUAUUUAAGGUGAAAAGAGCACAUGAAAUGAAUAAGCAAUCACUUGUGUAUUUCUUCACUCUUUUUCAUGGUUGCAAAAGCAUCACUUACAGAUCAGUAGCGAUUACAUUUCAGAACUCAGGGUCCUGCAUGAACCUGUGGUCUCAUCUGAUGGUGGGAAGUGACACUGCAGAAAGAAUACUGAUCCAAUUCACAUGCAAGGGAGAAUUUCAGAUGACCUUCAUUCCAAGGACAACUCGCAGUGAGGCAGUUACCAGGAUCCUCCGGUGAACUCUUUGUGGAGACAGAGCUUUUCCUGCACAUAGCAGGUGGCCUUCUCUUGGCUACUGCAUGGUGCCAGGAUCCCAGCCCCAGAGGGUGGCAGCUCACUCCCCCUUCCUGUGAGCAGAUGAAUAGCAGAUGGCCAUAUGCUUCCCAAGGACAGAGCCUUCCGCUUUCCCCAGCCAGCUAGGAAAAUGAAUCUGGAUGAAAAAGAGAAAAUAUCAGGAUAAAAACAAAAAGGACAAGUUCUUAUACCCAGGCAACAUGCCUUCCUGGUCAGCGAGAGCAACACCAAGCUGAACACACACAUGACGGUGAUGAUCAAGGCAGCCUUUCACUGCUCCCUUUAAAUCCCAAAGUGCCUGGAGGUGAGAGAGGAAAAAGAGAGGUUUAUCUUCUCACUCCAAGAAUUCUAAAUUUGAGUCUAGCCUCCUGGGUCUUAUGACGGACAUAGAUCAAGGCCACACUCCUCUGCUGCGGAAGUCAUUAUCAUCAAGCUACAUAUUGUGAAAAUUUCGAUGGUUACACAAGACCAUUCUGGAUACAGCAUGAACGUUCAAUGGAAGGACAGCACACAGAUUCGCAUACGGAACACUUCUUCAAACAGCCUUCUUCAUCUCUGUGACUGGAGCAGGUGCACGCGUGAACUCUCUUCCCUGCCCUGGGCUAAGGGGUAACUCGAAGGGGCUGAAACGGAUGAAGCACAUUCAACAGCUUUCUUCAAAGGAACCUGCAGAGCUUGGUGUCAAAUCCCAUUGUUCUCUGUCCAAACACAAUCUCCCAUCUUCUAGAUUCUAUUUAGGGAGUUCCCAUUGUUGCUCUGUGGGUUAAGGACUCCAUGUUUUCUCUGUGAGGAUGUGGGUUUGAUCCCUGGCCUUGCUCAGUGGGUUAAGGACCUGGCAUU